GGGGUGGUAGAUCAGCGGUAGAUCGCGGGUCUUGCACACCCGAGGCCCCGGGUUCAAAUCCCGGCCACUCCACCA
rnacentral:tRNA from 1 species